UACGUAGGGGGCAAGCGUUGUCCGGAUUCAUUGGGCGUAAAGAGCGCGUAGGCGGCCAGGUAGGUCCGCUGUGAAAACUCGAGGCUCAACCUCGAGAUGUCGGCGGAAACCAUCUGGCUAGAGUCCGGGAGAGGAGAGUGGAAUUCCUGGUGUAGCGGUGAAAUGCGCAGAUAUCAGGAAGAACACCCGUGGCGAAGGCGGCUCACUGGCCCGGUACUGACGCUGAGGUGCGAAAGCGUGGGGAGCAAACAGG
rnacentral:rRNA from 1 species